rnacentral:tRNA from 1 species
ACUAAAGUAACUAAAAUAAGAAAACAGGCUUAAGACUUGUAAAUGGGUUUUCCCCUUUAGUA